rnacentral:rRNA from 1 species
UGACGUCAAAUCAUCAUCCCCUUUAUGUCUUGGCUUCACGCAUUGCUACAAUGGCCGGNCAAAGGGCUGCGAAACCGCGAGGUGGAGCGAAUCCCAAAAAACCGGNCUCAGUUCGGAUUGGGGUCUGCNACUCGACCCCAUGAAGUCGGAGUCGCUAGUAAUCGCAGAUCAGCAACGCUGCGGUGAAUACGUUCCCNGGCCUUGUACACACCGCNCNUCAAGNCACGAAAGUCGGUAACACCCGAACCGGUGGCCCAACCCUUGUGNGGGGAGCCGUCGAAGGUGGG